rnacentral:rRNA from 1 species
GGUACCUUAUACGCGUGCACUAACGAAUCAGCAACUGGCAUAAAAAAUCCAGUCACGAAAAAAUAAACUUUCCCCAGUCAGCUGACUAAAAAAAAGUAAAUCCCAGUCGGCUAAACACCUGGCAACCUACUUCUAGCACACCGCAGACCUGGAAGAAGAAGGGUAUGGCGGUUUGCACGGCGGUCGGGAGGGCUCUGGCGGAGCGGCGGGACGGGAGGGGCCUUAGCGACGGGGGCCGGCAGGGAGAUCGGGGUGGGCGUUAACCUAAAAAAGAGGCCGCUACCUAAAAAAGAGGCCGCUUCACGCGGUGGCGGCAGGUGGUGGCAUGGGUGGGACUUGGGAUUCUAUCUAUUACUCCAACGGGAGGCCGCUCGGGAAGGAAGAGAAAGGAAGGAAGGCCGAGUGAGGCCGUUUGACAGUUUUUAACUGACUGGGGCUAAUCUUCUGACAAUAAAUCGAUUUAACAAAAAUAAAACGGCACAUUGUUUUCUUUGACUGUACCACGACACCUACUGUCCCGCUUCUAUGCCGAACCCACUGGCACCUAAAGUUUUAUGGUGCACGUUCGCUGCCGCUGACCUAGCCCCAUAAGAGGGGAAGGUUAAAGUUGCCCAGGUGUACGGGACCAAGGGUACCCAGCCCGGGACCGGGACGGUAUACGAGCCGCGGUUAUUUCAUAGUCAAAUGUUUGAUGAGCAGUCCAAUAUUGUUCAGUCGCUGUCCCCGAGAGUUCAAGGUCGACUAGUUGGUCGCGGUCCUAAAAAGGAAGCCUAAGAAGUGGCCACCUGAGAGUUUAGGUUGCGAGCAGCGCCACAGCUUGUCCUAGCAGAAGCGCUUUGGGCUUUCGCGGGCAAAUGGGUGCGGAUCGUGAGCCUUUUUGUACCUUGUUCUACUGACAGUGUACCUGUUCGCCGAUACCGUAGUCACUCCGCGUGGGGAAGCAACUUACCCCGUACUUUCCCUCGGUAGGACACGUGCGUCGUCGACUGUGGCAGUGGAAACCAGCACUCUCGGAGACACCUCUUGGCCGAGCAUCACAACCAACCUCCCUAGGUCCGAAGUAUGUGUGUCGAAAGGACUUCUUAGAGAGUGGUCUCUUUCUUAUGAUGAUGUUUUAACCAGUAUCCGAGGCAUUACCUGUUCAGUAUACCCCGUUCGGAUUUAGGAAGUCUCGUGGAGGAAUAGGACCCGUUUUCAGCGACGUCUCCCAGCAAUAAAAGCCGCUGUACCCUUUCCUGCUCUCCCUGCCUUCGUUGCUCAUGGUCUUGAUGGUCGGACGUAGUGAGUUGUGGUGGCUGCGCGAGUAGUCCCUGGAGCUGUUGUGGCUGUAGCACAAGGUGUAGCCGCUGUAGAGGAUGCGGUUGCCCAUAGACAGCGUCACCCUAGUCAAGUGCGUCGUCCAGCUCGGGUAGUGGAGGGCUCACGGGAUGUACUACCGUUCGCCCUUGGUGCUCGCUCUAAAGGGGUUGUCGCCCAGCGACAUGUUGCCGUGCCUGAGGCCGCCUCUCACGCCGCACGGCCGGCUCUGGUACAUGAUGCAAGGAUGCCUCUUCUCUCUGUUGAUGACCAUGAGGUACCUGAUGCCCUACAAGGCCAAGACGCACCGCCUGUCGCUCGUGCUGACCGCCCUCCCGUGCCUCGUCAUGUCGAAGGACCUGGCGACGGACCCGUCGCACCUGGCCCGCUCCGUCGGCACCGACCAGAAGUAGCGCGUGGCGCAGGAGCCGAUGAGGAGCCCGAAGAAGAUGCCGAAGCUGCCCUGCAAGCGCCUCGGGUACCGCGCCGUCUCGGACCUCCCCGACACCGCCGCGGUGGCCCACCUGCAGCGGAAGAUGCCGGUGCAGGUGGUCAUGCUCGCCUGCACGGGGCAGAUGCUCCUCGCCACAGACGGCCUGCCGGUACCGUGGCAGGUGCAGCAGCAGCCCCCGCCGCCGUCGGUGGACAGGUUGAAGUGGCGGCUCCGGGGCGGCACCUCGCACAUGGCCGUCUACCUGAUGCCCAAGCCGUUCGAGUGCCGCAGGCUGCGGUCCAGCGAGGUCAAGCUCAUGGCCGCCAGGUCGCUGCCGUUCCACAUGCUGUCGAAGUGGGACGCGUCCCUGACUCAAUCGACAUGGGAGACCGGAGACAGACUGGUGUACUACGUCUCCUUUAGCCGACAUGUGUAUUUGACUCUACUUGUGUACUACAUCUCCUUUAGCCGACAUGUGUAUUUGACUCUACUUGUGCAGGCACGUAUCUAAGAGGG